rnacentral:rRNA from 1 species
GAUGAACGCUGGCGGCGUGCCUAAUACAUGCAAGUCGAGCGAAUGGAUUAAGAGCUUGCUCUUAUGAAGUUAGCGGCGGACGGGUGAGUAACACGUGGGUAACCUGCCCAUAAGACUGGGAUAACUCCGGGAAACCGGGGCUAAUACCGGAUAACAUUUUGAACCGCAUGGUUCGAAAUUGAAAGGCGGCUUCGGCUGUCACUUAUGGAUGGACCCGCGUCGCAUUAGCUAGUUGGUGAGGUAACGGCUCACCAAGGCAACGAUGCGUAGCCGACCUGAGAGGGGGAUCGGCCACACUGGGACGGAGACACGGCCCAGACUCCUACGGGAGGCAGCAGUAGGGAAUCUUCCGCAAUGGACGAAAGUCUGACGGAGCAACGCCGCGUGAGUGACGAAGGCUUUCGGGUCGUAAAACUCUGUUGUUAGGGAGGAACAAGUGCUAGUUGAAUAAGCUGGCACCUUGACGGUACCUAACCAGAAAGCCACGGCUAACUACGUGCCAGCCGCCGCGGUAA